GACGAACCCGUGCGAACGUUGUUCGGAAUCACUGGGCUUAAAGGGCGCGUAGGCGGCUCCUCAAGUCCGGGGUGAAAUCCUCCAGCUUAACUGGAGAAGUGCCUCGGAUACUGGGGAGCUCGAGUGAGGUAGGGGCAGCUGGAACUUCCGGUGGAGCGGUGAAAUGCGUUGAUAUCGGAAGGAACGCCGGUGGCGAAAGCGGGCUGCUGGACCUCUUCUGACGCUGAGGCGCGAAAGCCAGGGGAGCGAAC
rnacentral:rRNA from 1 species